ACAUUAGUUCAAAAAAAGAAAAAGAAAACCACUACUGGAGUGGUAAAAGAAGAAAAAAUUUUACUGAGCAAAUCCCCAAUUGCAUCAUCUUUGGUUUCAGUGAAUAACUGUGAGUCCCAAACUGGCAGCCUUUUUACUUAGAAAUGAGGUUUGGCAAAUCCAGAGAACUGGCUUUCCACCAAGAUGGAGGGGACCGAAUUCUGCUCCCGUAUUCACUUUUGAGGCGUUUCCAAGGAGUGAAGCUUCUAUUUAGCCUGUCUCCCACCAUCUGAAGCCCCUUAGGAAGGAGUCAGCUUUGGGUGACUGCUCCCUCUUGUCCCACCUGGAGCCUGACGCUGCUGAGGCCCAAGGGGCAGAGCCCGGGUGCAGACCUACCCGCCAGCCCCAAUCAGGUCUCCCUCUUGUUGACACCAGGACUUGUUUCAGAAGAUGGCCCCAUGGCCCCUCCACCCAGCCUAGUGAAGAGCUGUUCAGAUCCCACUUGCCCUGGAACAGAAGCGGCUCUUCCUGACUCAGCCAAGGGUCUGACACCGCGGGGCUUGGUGCACAGCUCACCACCCUGGCCUGGCUGACCUUAGCAAGUUCUCAUGGACAGAUGGAGAUGGCUGUUGAUCAGGGCUUCCAGACUGCGGGACCAGCAGAGAUCAUGUCCAGCUGGGAGAAAUUAAGCCAAACUAUCGGCAUUGCCCCAACCCGAAGCUUAGGACCUGUUCUGAAAUGAAGAGACUUGUAGGCGAGCAAAUCACACACUUUCCAAAAGGCACAGACUCUGAAGGGCACCUCAUUGUAGCUGAGCUGGGUCCAACCAUCAGACCGAGGGGUGCUCCUUGUUACUGAUGUUUUAUCGACAUGAGGUGGAAUCUAAUUUGUCCCUGCUCAUCCAGCUAUGUAAAUGUUCUCUGAUGUCUGAGGACGAGGUAGCCUGGAUCCACUGCCAUAAUCAUCUACUCAACAUUUUCAAGGAGAGAGGCCAAGGCUGCAAAGGCAGUUUAUUACAUACAUUGGCCUCUGCACUUAUUUGGGUGAAAUCAUUUUCUAAUGUAUGAGUCUUUGCCUUAGAACCUGAAAUUGUGGUAAGUUGUUCACUUGAUUUUGUAAUUAUCCGGAGUGGGUCGCAUGCCCACUGGAGCCUGGGAUGGUCAGGUCCACCCAUCAAAUUAAUUGAAUCCAGAAUGGGAAAAAAUGGAGCAUCACUGAAGGGGAUGCUGGCCAGACAGGGUCAGCAGGGGACCCUCUGAAGCUGGCAGGAUGUGGCCCGGUGCUUUUGACCUCAUGCUCCGCAACCUCCCAGGCAGAUGCCAUUGAGGACUCAUUGAGAACUGACUCUGGACCAGGACCUAUGCUAAGCACUGCUGAGGAUGCACAGUAAGCAAGAUGUGGUCCUGAUGCUUACAGAUCUGGGUUUCUUGCAUGGCUCAUACUCACAUUCCUAUCAUGGGCCACAAGCCGGGAGUGAAAUGGCACCUUUCUUCUCGCUGGAACCACCUCAUUUCCUCUUUCCAGCAAAGAGGGAUGGAGAAACCUGCCCCAUAUGGGAGAAGGCAUCAUAUACCCACUGAGAUAACAAAUGUCCUGUGACCUGUGGAGAAGGGCAGUUUCAAGGACACAACAGCCUCUGAUCCUGGUGAGUGGGCCGGGGCUGAGGGUGGCGGCACAGAGAAUAGCCGGGCUCAUCCAGUGUCCUGGUCUCUGUGUCCAGGGCUGCCCCCACCCCAGUCAGCCAGGGACCAGCCAUGGCCAUGGGCAGGGCCACAGCGGGGGUUCCCCUGACUGUCGGUUUUCAGUUCCACCUUAUGUCAAGCAUAUUUGAUUGUUUAAAAAUCUUUUUUUUUUUCUUCCAAUGAACUUGCUCAUGCUCUUUGAACUUCAAGAUGGAAAAAUCAAAGUCUGAAUGGGUGAGUUUCCCAGGAAUUCCUGACCUGCUUUUGUGGAAACUGGUUCUUGCUGGAAGGACAAACUCCUUCCAGGGUCUCUACACACAGGUGCUGGCACAAGCAUCCAGAGGCUGGGUACCUGGGGCCCCCCCCAAAAGUCAGUGCAUGAGCAGUCCCGUGCAGCCCCACCCUCGGCUGGGUUUUGUUCGCAGUGUCCAGAGAGACACUGUAGGUCUCAGGCAGGGCCUGCCAGGUCCCUCUCUUCCUGUCCUGCUCCUCCACCUCCCCAUGCCUGCAGCACAGCCCUCGGAUCUCUCGGGCCUCAGUCAGGGGACCCUGGGGGACAGGGACCCAGAGUCCCAUUCAUCUUGGAGUGAGCCCUAGCAACUGGUUUCCUUGCUGCCAACCAGGUAGCUGGGUCUAUGUGUGUGAGCCAUUGCCUGGACAGCCCCACGUCCCCCUGCAGCUACACCUGGAAGCUCUAACCUGGCCUGUCCUUGAUGCCAUCGGCACAUCCUUGUCCUCACUGUGCCUUCCUGCCUUCCAAGGCCAGAGCCAGGCAUCUGACCUCCCUCCUGCCUGUUACACCAUUAAUGGACUUUGUAACCCCAGAUGCUUCUCUCCCAGAGAGAAAAAUUAAUUUUCACAUUUUGUGAUUUCCUUUGAUAGAAUUGACUCUUCAUAUCACACCCACACACUCACAGUUCAAGAUGGAGCCAGGAAACAGACUGGCCAGAAAGGUUCAGGACUCAAAGCCCCAAAGCCACCUUGCAUCAGCCAGGUGGUGGGGCCCAUAGGUGGGAAUUUGCCCACUUCCUGCUCAGAGGGGAUCAAAUCGCUGCUCUGAAUUAGAGCACAUUUUGCCUUUGCGAGACUUCUGGGCACUGCGUUUCUGCAUGUGAGAUAGAGGUGGCCAGGGCUCUGGGUUGGGGUCGUUCGCCCUCUCAUAUACACCUGCUCCAUGGGCUUCCCAUGGGAUCAGGAGAAAACAGGAGCUUGGCAUGUGGUGUGUGCUCGUGGUAGGGACACUAUGGGUCAGUUCCAGAAGUCACAAUAAAGCGAGUCACAUUUUUUGGUUUCCCCAGGCAUAUCAAAGUUAUGCUUAUGUUAUACUCUAGUCUGUGAAGGGUACAAUAGCAUUAUGGCUAAAAAGACAAUGAAAAAUACUUUAUGCCUCAAAAACACUAACCAUCCCCUGAGCCCUCAGCCAGUCAUAAUCUUUUGCAAUAGUAACAUCAGAACUCCUGAUCACCCUAACACCUGUAGUAAUAAUGAAAAGGUUUGCAAUAUGGUGCAAAUUAAAGAUGUGACACAGAGGGAGUUCCCGUUGUGGUGCAGUGAAAACGAAUCCAACCAGUAUCCAUGAAGAUGCUUGUUUGAUCCCUGGCCCCACUGGUUAAGGGUCCGGUGUUGCCGUGAGCUGCAGUACGAGUCACAGACAUGGCUUGGAUUUGGUGUUGCUGUGGUGUAGGCUGGCAGCUACAGCUCCAGUUCAACCCCUAGCCUGGGAACNNNNNNNNNNNNNNNNNNNNNNNNNNNNNNNNNNNNNNNNNNNCUAAAAAGACAAAAAAAAAAAAAAAAAAAAAAAGUGACACAGAGACAGAAAGUGAGCAAGUGCUGUUGGAAAAAUGGCUCCGAAAGACUUGCCCGGCACAGGGUUGCCACAACCUUCAAUUUGUAAAAAAGGCAACAUCUGCAAAGUGCAAUAAAUUGAGGUUUUGUCUAUGUACACUCGGGCACGCGCGCGCGUGCACACACACACACUCCACAGCAGACAUGUUAAUGCACAGAGUUCUGGAAGCAUACAAGCCAAAGGGUUAGGCAUUGGGUUUGCAGGAGGAGGUAAAGACACCAUGUGAGGUAUCUGUGCAGUACUCACAUAAUUUUAUUUUUGUAUUUUUUAUGGCUGCAUCCACACAUAUGGAAGUUCCCAAGACAGGGACUGAAUCUGAGCUGCAGCUGUGACCUAUGCCACAGCUGUGGCAACUCCAGAUCCUUUAACUCACUGCACUGACCUGUGCCUGGGAAGCGACCUGAGCUGCUGUGGUCAGAGUCUAGGAAGAAUGAUAAAUUUAAAGGCGGGAGCAGCUCUGGUGAAGGGUCCUCCUCUUGCAGGGCCUCCUGCCUGCACUUCCCUUCCUGGAGCCCUCCAGGCUCUCCAGCCUGGCCGUCUCCCUCCAUCCCAGGCACCUUCCUUCUCCCUGACCUGGGCUGACUCAGUGUCCAGUCCUCUCUGCAACUCCAUUCUGAAUCAGGGACGCCUUUCUGCCCUGGCAGCAGUCUCCUCCCAAACCAGUUAACACAGGCAAGAAAAAAGUAAUUCCACAAUUGGUUGCAGUUCUCUGUGAAGGUAUAAAUUAUACAUGACGCUGUGACAUUUGCAGCAGACUGCCACGUUGAUUUGGUUUUUGUCUGUGGUGGUGGUUUUAUCAAUGAGCUUUUCUUCCUGAGCAACUGCAGAUUCUGUUUUGUGCAAAUGAUUGAAGACAUUCUGGAAAUUUCUUUCUUUUUGAAUUAUCCACUCUAUCCAGACAUCCUAAAUCUUUGAGACAAAACAAAUACAGCACACGCCCAUGCUCACACAUGCGCGCACGCGUGCGCGCGCACACACACACACACACACACUUUGAAUUUCUGUCAGGCCCAGAGAGUCUCAGGGUAAAUGAGCCAAUUUGUUUUCAUUUAAAUAUGAAAGUGAGAGAAGGAAACGCAAUGAAUGAGCACAGGAGAACACAGAGCUGUAAGCUGGAAAAACCCAAAGAUGAAUUUGUCACGUCUCUCAUGAUAAAUGACGGCGAUGCAAUUAAACAGAGGCAGCCCAGCGACCAUGAACACCCCAGUGCAUUGUGUUUUGAUCUGUAGGGCAGGUACCCUCAUGUUUCCUGUCAUAGACUCUAAACAUCACAAGUCUUGGGGGGAGGGGUGCCCUGGUGCCCAGGAUGCUGAGUUAUGCCAGGGGGACAGAAAAGUGGGUCAGUGGGUCACCUGUGCAGACCUGGCCAGGAACGAAGUUUGACUCAUGUGAGCCUAGCACUCCCUGAGUCCAGGCGGCGGAUGGUGGAGCCCCGGAUGGGGGCGGCUGGAAGGGAGACGCCGCAUCCUAGGGGUCAGAGGAGCUCCCAGGAAAACCCAGGUUCAGGUGGUGAUGCCACAGACAUCCGUGGCCCGGAAGACAGGAGAGGGCACGUAUGUUUGGAGCUCAGGACAGUGGAGCAUCCACAUUUGGAGAGCUUGCUGCAUUGCUGGAGACUCUGUGCACACAUUGGAGCUGACUUGUGAGCAAGCAGACAGAUCAAGGCCUUUCAGAACUGCGAGGGCACUUGGGAGUUUAUUGAGCUCAACUUCCUUUCCCAAGCAGGAAUUCCCUCCCCAGGACCCUGGAUGGCGGGUCUGAACAUCCAGUUCCACCCAGAGUCACGAAGUGGGUGCUCAGGUGUACAUGGGUUCCUUCCUGAAAAAAAAUCCUGCUGAGGGUUCAAGGUCCAGGUGGAUGGGUGGAUCCUUUGGACCGAGCAACGCCCCUCCCUCUCCUGCGUCCUGUGCCUGCAGCCCCUGCACAGCCUUCCUGUACAGACACCAUCCUUCUCGGGACAAGUAUGUAUGGGUGACUGCCCUCCUCCAUGGAAACCCAUGACGGGGUUCAAGGCCUGCUUAGACGACACAGAUAUUGGUUCCCCAACCCCAAGUGCCCACCACCUGUUGGUCCUGCUCCUGCCUUCAGAGCCACAUCCUUCCCCUUCCUCUUGAACCUAGAAUCCACGGAGGGCACACCCAGGGUCUCCCGGUCACUCAGCGGCACGGGGGCAUGAGGAAGGGGGUCCCUCUGGGACAUGGAUUCUGGCACCUUCAGCAUCCUGGUCCCCUUCUGCUCUGGCCAUGCCUCCUUGUAAUUUCCCAGGUCUAACCCAUGCGUGGAUGGACUGGCAGGGCCAUUGCCUUCGUGCAGUGAGCACUUGGUCUAACUCCAGGAGCACAGAUUGCUGUUUUUCAAACAAGCCAGGAACAUUUAAAGCUCCGGGGUCAGGUUUGGACUGAAACAAUGUAAGCAGUUUUUGUGAUUUUCCAGGACAGGUUAAGAUGCACCAAGUCCCAGGAGCGGGGCGUCGUGGCCCAGGCAAGGAGGACCUGAGCAUGGACGCCACCAGGUGGCGGUCUCGGGUCCAGGGCCGCAGGAGAACGUGCACCCCCUGUUGGCGAUGGGUCAGGAUGGGACCCGGGCUUGCCUCCUGCAUGGCCCCUGCUCAGAGAAGAGGGCCCCAAGCUUCCUGCUCUGAGCCCAGGAGCUGAAGCCUCUGAGGACCCCCACAGGCCCUGCACUGAGGGCAGCGACUCCUCAUCUUCUGGCCUACGUGUGUCUUUGGAAGGUGAUCUCAGAGCUCUUGCUGGAGAAUUUGCCUUUUCCUGUGCUCACCCCCUGCUUUUGCUCUUUCCUGGACUGCAAGUGGCAGAGCUUAAGCUGCAGCUUCCUUAUAGCUGUUGCCUCUGCAGUUCCUGCUCAUGGUCCCCAGGGAGCAGUGGGCUUUGGGAAGGCCUUGCCAGCUUCCAGAACACCGACAUCAGGCAGGAGAGCAAGUACCUGGCAUACCUCCUCUCCACUGUUGUUAUUCCUUCUGGGAAAAAAAAAAAAAAAA
rnacentral:lncRNA from 1 species